UAAACACUCUCACACUCUCAUCUCACGCCUCGUCUCAAGCUCUCUGCCUCUCUGCCUCUCUCUCACUCAACUCAAGCUCACUCUCUCUGCCUCUGUUACCUUGUUCGGCAGCCUUCAAUCCUCAGGUUUCCGGUCAAUAACACUAGAGUCCUCUCUCUUUCUUUGAUUUGUCCCAUUGGAGAAGAUAACAACAGUUCGUCAGUUCCAUAAAGAUUGGAUCUUUGGAGUCACUUUUUGCUCAGGGUCACCAGCAUUGCCUCCCCUCCAGAGCACAACUGGCUUCAGAUUCAAUUUGGUUUUCGGGUGACAUCCUAGAGGUUUUUUUUUUUUUUUUUUUUUUUUUUCGCCCUCGCCCUCUGAUCUCUGAUCUCUGCUCUCUGCUCUCUGCUUCAUCAGAUUCUCCGUUCAUGUUCUUGUCUUCAUCUCAGGUUCUCCAUUCCGUGACUUCACUGGGAGUUCUACGCAAACUUCCAUAACCAAUAAGAGCUCUCUGUCGAGACCAUUGUUAAAGGUGUCUCGAUUCCUCUUGCUCCUGCAUUUCUUGGUAAGAUCAUUUGUCUUCCACUUCUCAACGAUGUCCCUAGUAGAAAGUUGUAUUAGACUAGAGAUGAAAAGGAAUAGGAAAAGACUAAAAAGGACACCUGAGAUGGUGAAGUCCAUCUGUCCAUGACAUGCGUGAAGUAGUACUUCUUCUUGUUUUUUGCUGAAUGCGUGAAGUAGUACUUUACUAGAACUAAUGGCUUUUUAUAGCAUCAUUCUGUAAGUCUUUCAUUUAUGUUGUAGUAUUUUAGUAAAAAUAUUACAACUUAUUUAGCAUUUAGUAUGCUUAAUUUUCUUUUAUAUAUCUUGUUGCGGGCCAAACAAUAUUUCUUUUAGAUUUGUUCAUGGUUCAUUGAAUCUAGUGGCUUACCACUUGUCACAAAUUGGAUGUUUCUAUCAAUUUCUUGACAAGAGAGGUGAUUAGAAUAUAAAAGUUUGGGUGUUCAGAAAAGGUUUGAAGAGUGUAGCUAUUUGCAAAAUCAAAGUUCUGAAGGACCUCACAAGUUAUGUGGAAGUCUUUUAGAAUUUUGAUCUUGCAGGGAGCUAUUCUCUUCAAAUCUUUCCUAAACACCUAGACUUUUACAUUUUGAUAACCUCUCUUGUCAAGAAAUUGGUAGAAACAUCCAAUUUGUGACAAGUGAUGAGCCACCAGAUUCAAUGAACCAUGGACAGAUUGAGAAGAAAUCUUGUUUGGUCUUACAACUGUUGUUUUAACGUCACUCAAAAAGCUCCAACUUAGAUUUGCAGAUACAUCUUUUUCUCUUUUUUCCAGACUAAAGUAAAUUUGGGAGCCCCUCCAGGUCAGUCUCUACAUGCAAAUCGGUCAUGAAUUUUUUCUUAGUUAAAUAAGUUGUCCAAAAUCUAGUUCUAGCUUUGGCAUUGAUGAGCACCUUCUAACAGCUUUCAGAGCUUAUGCCCACUUACCAUUGUUUAACUCAACUGUUUUGUAAUCACCAGCUGCAUGAUGCAUCUAAAAAUGAACCAAAGAUUUGCUUUGUAGCAACUGAAAGCAGUUCAGAAUCACAAAAAUUUGUAUCUAAUGAACAUUUAAGACUAUGUAAAUGUAAAUGGCAGGAAUACUGAUGGGUCACCAACUUUCUGUCAAGGUCAGGAUCCAGUUUAUCGUGACUUGCUAGUGGCUUUAGAACUCGCCACGUGGUCUUGAUGAUAAAUCCAUUAGUUCUUCAGCAAAUUUGCAUCAUAAUUUUCAUAACUUUUUUCCGUACGUUAUUGAUUUGGUUGUGCAGGACCAUGAAGGAAAUGACAAAGAAGCCGCUAUAUUCUUUAAAUAAAAGAACCAACGAGGUUGGUAGAUAUAAAUGAAUGUCAUCUCAUCCAGAUAUUUACCCAAAAAAAAAAAAAAGUCAUCUCAUCCAACCAAUGGGGUUCAUGUGCUAUCCUACACCACCAAUGAAUGAGUACCAUCUCACCUUAUUUACAUGCAUAUCUCUUUUUGGAGUUAUUUCUUAUAAGUCAUGGUCAACAGAACAAGGAACAUGGCUUUUUAUGCAAUAAUUGAGGCAUUGUUAUGUUAGGGGUAGGGAUGGCAAUUUAUGCCCGAUCUGCGGGUAACCCAGCCCGGCCCGACCCUAAUGGGUCGGGUUUUACCUGGUCUGAUAACAAAUAGGGUCGGGUUUGGGUUUUAGAAAAAAAACCCAAAGCGGGUCCGGGUUUUGGAAAAAACCCGACCCGAACUCGGACCUAACCUGACCCGACCCGCUUAAACUUAAAACAAAAUUACUAAAAUACCUACCCAUAUAUAUAUAUAUAUAUAUAUAUAUAUAUGUAACUUAUAACAAACCCUAAUCCUUUUUUCAUUUGUCUGAAGUCUCUCCAAGCCGCCUCCUCUCUGUGCUCUCACCUCACCCUCAAUAACUCUCUCAGUCUCAUUUUCUCUCAAGCCACCCCACACGGCCUCACCCAGUCACCCUCACCGUCACUCUCAGUCACUCACCGACCUACCCUCACCUUCACUCUCAUCACUUGAUGGUUGCUAUUUCCACGGAGAAGCAUGGAGGUUAGAUCUCAGAGAGAUUUGCGAGGUUUAGGCCGUGAGCUUCGGCCUAGAGGUGGAAUUGGUGGUUGAAACCACCGUCGAUCAUCGGAGAUAGAGCCUUGGUGGACCGAGUUCUCCAAUUUUUAUUUUUGGGUUCAUUUUUAUUUUGGGUUCAUGUCCUCUCUCAAUUCUCAAAUCUGUGAGUUUGUGUUUGUGUUUUUGUGAAUCUGAGUUUGAAAGGAAACUCUUUUUUUCUUUUUAUAAGAUUGUGUCUCGAAUUUGUGA